UCUCAUCAAUUACAAGGGAAUACUUCUGGGUCACUUAAUUCUGAUUUGGCUCAUACAAGUAACUCUCAACCUCCUGCACUUUUAAAGUCGCACUCACAGGUGAAUCCUUAUGGAAUAUUAAAACUAAUGUUCCAAAUACCAACUGGAAUGGAUCACCCAGCAAAAACUUCAAAAAUAGACCAACACGAGGGGGGUUUAAAGGAGGAUUCCAGAAGUCUAAAUUUAAUGAUGUGAAUAAUGGAAAGCGCAGAACUGGGUUUCUUAAAGAUCAUAAUGGAAGAGCCCUUACAGUGGGAGGGCAGCACAUGAUAGUGUAAGAUCAAAGGAACUUAAGCAGCAACUAGAAAGAUCUUUCUCUGUGACUUACACUGAGCAAGAAAUCAAACAAUGGCGUGAAGCACGGAAAAAGAAUCAUCCUUGUAACAACUUUCAGAAGAGGCACUGUGAAUGACCGAUGGACUCCAAGGUCAUUAAAAGGGAGGUCUUACAAAGAGAGCUUAAGGAGGUUUUAGCAAAGCAAGCUGAAUUAGGAAUCGAAGUUGCUGAAAUACCAUCACACUACCUUAAGAAUUCUGAUAAUCAAGGUCUUCAGAAUGAAGGGAAAAACAAAUUUAGUGACAAAAGAAAGUUCCAAAACAAGUUCAACAAGAAAUUAGACAGAAAAGGUCGGUUCGGCAAGAAGCAAAAGUUUGCUGACUUUUCAGAAAGCCCUUCAUUAAAAAUGAGGAAGCCAACUUUAUUGCAGAAACUCUUGAGUGCAGAUAUAAGCAAGGAUAAGAGCCACCUGUUUCAGGUUUUCAGGUUCAUGGUAAUAAAUUCUUUCUUCAAACAUUGUCCUGAUAAGCCACUUAGAUAUCCAUCAGUCAUGGUUAAAGAGAACUGGUCUGAAGUUGACACUAAAAAAGAUAUUCCUAAACGCGGGAACGAGGGAGCUGUCAAAAAAAUUGCUAGCCUAAAUAAUGAUGAUCAUAGUAGUGAAGACGAAGACAGUGAUGUGGAUGAGAAUGACUCUAUUGUACAUAAUAAUCCACACAAAGAACUUUUUUCCUUGGUUAAAGAAGGAUUUGAGAAAUCUGAUGAAGAGGGAGAAAUUUUAGAAUGAAAUUCGAAUAUUGGUGCUCCACUUUUUGCAGCAAAGUUUUGAAUACUGUAGUGGUAACAUUUUUUGUUUAGUCAUUUGUUUCCCUUAUGGUUUUACCAUCAUGCGUAAUGUUACAGUAAAUAUAUUUUUGCAGCAAAGGUUUCUUAAUACUAAUAUUACACACUAUAUUUGCACAAA